rnacentral:rRNA from 1 species
ACGUGACCGAGCGACGCCGUGUGUGGGAUGAAGGCCUUCGGGUUGUAAACCACUGUCGUAGAGGAGGAAGUUGAUUGGGGUUCUCCCCAGUCAUUGACCUAUUCUAGGAGGAAGGACGGGCUAAGUACGUGCCAGCAGCCGCGGUAAUACGUACCGUCCAAACGUUAUUCGGAAUUACUGGGCUUAAAGGGUACGUAGGCGGCGCUGUCAGUCGGGUGUGAAAGCCCUCGGCUCAACCGAGGAAUUGCGCCCGAUACUGCAGUGCUUGAGGGAGACAGAGGUAAGCGGAACUGAUGGUGGAGCGGUGAAAUGCGUUGAUAUCAUCAGGAACACCAGUGGCGAAAGCGGCUUACUGGGUCUCUUCUGACGCUGAGGUACGAAAGCUAGGGGAGCGAAGGGGAUUAGAUACCCCCGUAGUCCUAGCCGUAAACGUUGAGCACUUGAUCGAGGAUCCCCCCAUAGGUUCCCGGUCGUAGCGAAAGUGUUAAGUGCUCCGCCUGGGGAGUAUGGUCGCAAGGCUG